rnacentral:pre_miRNA from 1 species
UUUUUCUUAUAAGUGUGUCCCAUGCAAUAUUUAGGAUAGACUUAUAACUAAU